rnacentral:misc_RNA from 1 species
CAGAAAACGGCUCCGGCCAUUUUCUAACCCUUGACUACUAUCCUGUUGCUUCGGUGCUGCGGCACCGGCGCCAUUUCAAACUCAGAAACUGUUGUGUCUGAAAACAUUUAAUAAAUCA